GAAAUGCGAUAAGUAAUGUGAAUUGCAGAAUUCAGUGAAUCAUCGAAUCUUUGAACGCACCUUGCGCUCCUUGGUAUUCCUUGGAGCAUGCCUGUUUGAGUAUCAUGAGAUCUUCAAAGUAAAUCUUUUGUUAACUCAAUUGGUUUCUACUUUGGUAUUGGAGGUCUUUGCAGCUUCACACCUGCUCCUCUUUGUUCAUUAGCUGGAUCUCAGUGUUAUGCUUGGUUCCACUCGGCGUGAUAAGUUAUCUAUCGCUGAGGACACUGUAAAAGGUGGCCAAGGUAAAUGCAGAUGAACCGCUUCUAAUAGUCCAUGGACUUGGACAAUACUUUUAUGAUCUGAUCUCAAAUCAGGUAGGACUACCCGCUGAACUUAAGC
rnacentral:misc_RNA from 1 species